AUCAAGGAUCACGCCGAUUAAAAAAUCCUUUAAAACAAAUGAUGUUGAGAGCACUGAGAGUGAAUCUAUGAUUGAUCUAAAUACUGAGCCUAUGCUCUUGUAGUAAUUCCUUCCAACGACAAUUUAGAAGGAACCUGAUAAGAGCGAUGAAGCUGCGUGUGAAAGUAUAAUGGAACCUAAAGGCAUCACAAACUACCUACGAACAUCUUGCGAAAUAUUUGCAGCGUAUUAUUUGCACUGAAAUGUCUAAAGUAAAAAAAAAGCGUCAAUUACACCAUUGGACAACAAGUUAAAAAAAUAUUAGAAGUCGUCCAGCAGUCAGGAGAUGCACCGAGUAAACAAAGAGCUUGGAAUAUUAUCGGUGACGCCUUGCCAUACAAAGACAUUGCGACAUUUGUAGUUUUAUAAAUCUUUAAAAGAUAACGAGGAAAAACGCAAAGCAUUGGUAUUUAAAAACUAUCCAAAUAUUAUUCACAAAGAUUUACAAAUUAUUAAAAUAUUGUUAGCAAAAGAUUGAAAAAUUAUAGGUUGUCACCGGUAGAACAAGC
rnacentral:misc_RNA from 1 species